UCCGUAGGUGGAUAAUUAAGUCAGAGGUGAAAGUCUGCAGCUCAACUGUAGAAUUGCCCUUGAUACUGGUUGUCUUGAGUCAUUGUGAAGUAGUUAGAAUAUGUAGUGUAGCGGUGAAAUGCAUAGAUAUUACAUAGAAUACCAAUUGCGAAGGCAGAUUACUAAUAAUGUACUGACACUGAUGGACGAAAGCGUGGGGAGCGAACAGGAUUAGAUACCCUGGUAGUCC
rnacentral:rRNA from 1 species